rnacentral:rRNA from 1 species
GAGAGGAUGAUCAGCCACACUGGAACUGAGACACGGUCCAGACUCCUACGGGAGGCAGCAGUGGGGAAUAUUGCACAAUGGGCGCAAGCCUGAUGCAGCCAUGCCGCGUGUGUGAAGAAGGCCUUCGGGUUGUAAAGCACUUUCAGUCGUGAGGAAGGUAGUGUAGUUAAUAGCUGCAUUAUUUGACGUUAGCGACAGAAGAAGCACCGGCUAACUCCGUGCCAGCAGCCGCGGUAAUACGGAGGGUGCGAGCGUUAAUCGGAAUUACUGG